ensembl:lncRNA
UAGGAUUUUUUAAGGAUGCAUUCUUGGUCAAUAUUCCACUUGGAUAUUCCACUUCCCAAUCACAGAUUUUUAGCUAGUGCUGGUUAAAAUUGUCUUAAGUUUGUAGUUGCUGGAAUCAUCUAACAUCAACUGUUCAUUUUAUUUCUAGUUUAUGAAGACAUGCAAUAAAGUUCUAAUUUAAUGCCUUUGGAAAGCACUCAGGCCCAUUAAUUUUCUCCACAUUUUGUUGUUAUAGACUUUGCCAUCAACCUACACACAAUGCCCCACAAUGACAAAGCAAAAACAUUUUUAGAAAUGCAUGUCAAUUUAUUGAAAAUAAAAAAAUGAAAUACCUCAUGUACAUAAGUGCUGUAUUUAGCUGAUUUAUUUAGUACUUUGUUGUAGCACCUUUAGCAGUGAUCACAGCUUCGAAUCUUCUUCAUUCUUCUUUGCAGAUCCUCUGAAGCUCUGUCAGAUUGCAUGAGGAACGUUGGUGUACAGUGAUCAUCAGGUGUCUCUAUAGAUGUUAACUGGGGUUUAAGUCUGCCACCCAAGGACAUUCACAGACUUAUACAAAAGCUCCAGCAUUGUCUUGGCUGGGUGUUUCGAGUAGUUGUCUUCUCAAAGAUUAAUCUUCACCCCAAGUCUGAGGCCCUGUGCACUCUGGACCAUUCAAUUCAAUCAAGACCAUUCUCACAGUCCCUUCUGCUGACAAGCAUCCUCAUAGCAUGAUGCUCCCACCACCAUGCAUGGACACUGUUGGACAGUCAGGUGAUGAGUGAUACUUUUCAGCGGGCUUAGUGCUUGGCAUUCAUAUCUAAUACUUUGAGAGAAUAUUUUCCCCCAUGCUCUCAGGCAUUUCACGUGCCUUUUACUGGCUUCGGUCUAACAACACUACCAUAAAGGCAUGAUUGAUCGAGUGCGGCAGAUAUGUGUGUCCUUCUACCAUUUUCUCUCAUCUCUGCAGAAAAACCCUGAAGCUCUGUUAGUGUCCAUUGGGUCCUUGGUGACCUCCCUUACCAAUACUCUUCUUGCCUGGUUACUUUGGUUGGUUGGAUGGCCAACUCUAGGAAACGUCUUUGUUGUUCCAAACUUCUUCCAUUUCACAAUAAUGGAACCCACUUUAUUUCUUUUUAAACUUCCAUAGAUCGAUGCCUCGGCCACAAUAAUCAGAGGUCUAGGAAAAUUGCUUGGCCCGGGUCCACGAUGAAAUGACUGAGGGGGCAAUUUUUAUCAAUGGGGGGGCAUAUCUUAUUCAUAUACCAUUUGCAGAGUUGUGGGGACAAGCCCAGAGGCACACAAAUUAUAUCUGAGGGAGCAAUGCCCGGCUUUGCCUCUCCAUAGAUCUGGGCCUGCUUGGACAUCAUGGCUUGGUUUUUGCCCUGGCAUGUAUUUUGAAGUGUUGGACCUUAUGUAGACAGGUGGGUGCCUUUCUAAAUCAUGUCCUGAACUAAACUGCCAAAGGUGGAAUACAAUCAAGUUCUAGGCACACCUUAAAGAGAAUCAAAGAACAUAGGAUGCACCUGAGCUCCAUUUUGAGUGUCAUGGCAAAGGGUCUGAAUAGUUAUGUACAUGAGAAUGUCAGUUUCUUAUUUCUUAUUUGAAUUUCUACAGAUUUAUUUUGGCAAAAUAAAUAUAAUAAAUUAUGAAAUAAGCUGAUAACACAACAAAUAGUGGAGAACAUGAAAGGGUCUGAAUACUUUCCAAAGGCACUGCUUGUUUUUAAUGAUCUGAAAUGUUUCUGUAAUGUGGGAGAUUUAAAGUAGGUUGUGCAAAUCGGUGAGGGGAAAAAUCAAUAUGAUCCCCAUUGAUAAUUAAGGAGGCAGCAAAAUGUGAUGGUUGUGUAGACUUUCAAGAGCUGUGUAGCCUUUCAAUAACAGCUGUAUAGCCUAACGUUGUUUGAGGGUUUAAUGCAUAUAACUUGAGUGGAAGGGCAAACAAAACUCAAAGACAGAAUUGAUGACAGCCCUUGACAAAAACUGUAUCAGGGACUAUUUUGUGUCUAUCUUGUGUCUGCCAUUUUGGAAGUUUGUUAUGACUGAAUUAAA